UGCUCGGGAAGAUAUUCUCACAAUUAGACUUUUGGGCUAGAUUUCUCGAAAACCGUGAAUCCCACGAGAAAACCGAGGCUACCAGCACGCUCCACUCGACGAGGGCUUCGCGGGAUAUUAAUUUCAAAAUUUUCCGACAACGUUUUUCGGUAUUCUCAUUUCGCGGAAAUUCGACAGUUGACCGGGUCUGCAAAUUUCGGGCCAGACAGACCCGUUACCGGAAAAGUCUCCGAAUUGGACCGAGGUUUUGGCUAGCCCCCCAUUGUCAGACGUCCCGAGCGCGUUCCCGAAGUCGGAAUCGGCAAAGGUGAGCCGGGACAGCCUUCUUCCUCCGCCCAGCCACCACAGUGAUUUGUCGUCAAGUCUGUGAG